GGUCUGGUAGUGUAGGGGUGAUCACAUUCGGUUUGUACGUAUCCCGUGACACUAGAUCAAACCGAACGCCACUAAUUCCUCUCAGUGAUACAACUCAACAUCCGAAUAACCUGAGUUCGAAUCUCAGCCUGACCU
rnacentral:tRNA from 1 species